AUUGAACGCUGGCGGCAUGCUUUACACAUGCAAGUCGAACGGCAGCACGGACUUCGGUCUGGUGGCGAGUGGCGAACGGGUGAGUAAUACAUCGGAACGUGCCCAGUUGUGGGGGAUAACUACUCGAAAGAGUAGCUAAUACCGCAUGAGAACUGAGGUUGAAAGCAGGGGAUCGUAAGACCUUGCGCAACUGGAGCGGCCGAUGGCAGAUUAGGUAGUUGGUGGGAUAAAAGCUUACCAAGCCGACGAUCUGUAGCUGGUCUGAGAGGACGACAAGGCACACUGGGACUGAGACACGGCCGAGACUCCUGCGGGAGGCAGCAGUGGGGAAUUUUGGACAAUGGGCGAAAGCCUGAUCCAGCAAUGCCGCGUGCAGGAUGAAGGCGUUCGGGUUGUAAACUGCUUUUGUACGGAACGAAAAGCUUCGGGCUAAUACCCUGGAGUCAUGACGGUACCGUAAGAAUAAGCACCGGCUAACUACGUGCCAGCCGCCGCCGUAAGAC
rnacentral:rRNA from 1 species